GGCCAGUUAGCUCAGUUGGUUAGAGUGUGGCGAUUGUAAUGCCAAGGUCAUGGGUUCGAUCCCUGUAUUGGCCA